UCCGUGAGCCCCUCUCCCCCUCUCGAUUAUCAUAAAAUGGUUCAGUCCGCCCAAAUUGUAUCCAGGCAACAGCUUGACUUCACUUAUAGCGCCGGUGCUACAACAACCGUUUUUCCACGUGCUAAAGUAUUGUCGUUACAGCUCUAACCUGCAGUAAUAAGACCUGCGUUAACUCCCUGGGGACGUGAGAUUCGGCAGCGAGUUUCAGCAUGAUUCUUCACACCCGUGACCACUCACUCCUCUUAUAGCAUGAAGAGAUUUCAUCAUACAAACCAGAUCGGGCUACUGUGAGAGUCUGUAGAGUCUCAGCUUUCAGGCGGUCUCACAGGUAGAGAAACUGAACACCUGUACAGACUUUAAACUGUAAGAAAUCUUUACUGUGUUCCUGUAGUCAGAGAAGUGAAAGUGAAGUCAAGUGUCUCAGGACUUUACUCCUCCUCCUGAGUGACAUCACCUCAUUAAUAUGUGAACAGGAGGUGGAGUGAAAUCCUGAGUGUGUUCAAUAUUAAUCAGGUUCACACUGGACCCUCAGGAAGAGCUUUUAGAGUAAUUCUAGUAAAUGAUUGUGCACUGAACCCCUAGAACGCUACCUGUAUGUUUUUAUGUAUUGUUAAAGUACUUAUGGUGAUGUAAAUGUGUAAGUCUGUUUGUCUCCUACAAUAAAAUAAUGAAACGUG